ACGGAGGAAGCCGAAAAGCCAAAAAAGAGUAGGUA
rnacentral:ncRNA from 1 species